rnacentral:tmRNA from 1 species
GGGGGUGUAUUAGGUUUCGACUUGGAUAAUAACCAUAGGAGAAGCGAGUCGAGGUCCCCGCAGUCCUCGUAAAAUAAGUGGGAAACUAAUGUAACUGCUGAACCAGUUGCACUUGCUGCUUAAUAUAAAGUAGCCGUCUACCAGGGACUCGCCUGCGGUUUCUGGAUAGGCGCCGAUUAGUAGGCUACCUGCCUGGGAUGUCUAUACCAGAAAGGGAAUCUUUAUAGGCUGGCCGGUUGGGUUUAUUUGCUUAUGAUUGCCCAGUUGGCGAGACUUUUUCAUAAGCUACACUCGUAGAAGGCUUAUGGAGUUAUCUCAAGGACGUGGGUUCGAUUCCCACCACCUCCACCA